CUCAGAACGAACGCUGGCGGCGUGGUUGAUACAUGCAAGUCGAACGGGAAAGGAGGCUUCGGCCUCCGAGUAUAGUGGCGGACGGGUGAGUAACAUAUGAUCAAUCUGCCCGAAAGAUCAGGAUAGCCAUCCGAAAGGAUGGGUAAUACUGGAUAAGCUCACAGCGAGGCAUCUCGCAGGGAGAAAAAGAUUGGGAUCUUCGGACCUUUCGCUUUCGGAUGAGAUUAUAUCCUAUCAGUUAGUUGGCGGGGUAACGGCCCACCAAGACUACGACGGGUAGCCGGCCUGAGAGGGUGGACGGCCACACUGGAACUGAGACACGGUCCAGACUCCUACGGGAGGCAGCAGUGCUGAAUUAUUCGCCAAUGCGCGAAAGCGUGACGGUGCGACGCCGCGUGCGGGACGAAGGCCUUCGGGUUGUAAACCGCUGUCAGGGGAUAGAAAACUAUGAUGGUUAAUAGCCAUUAUACUGAUCAUUCCCAAAGGAAGCACAGGCUAAUCUCGUGCCAGCAGCCGCGGUAAUACGAGAUGUGCGAGCGUUGUUCGGAAUCACUGGGCAUAAAGGGUGCGUAGGCGGUGCGCCAAGUCGGAUGUGAAAUCCCUUCGCUUAACGAAGGAACUGCAUUCGAUACUAGCGUGCUAGAGGGUAAAAGGGGCAAGCGGAAUUCUAGGUGUAGCGGUGGAAUGCGUAGAUAUCUGGGAGAACGCCGAGGGCGAAGGCAGCUUGCUGGGUUACUUCUGACGCUGAGGCACGAAAGCUAGGGGAGCAAACAGGAUUAGAUACCCUGGUAGUCCUAGCCGUAAACGAUGAGCACUUUGUUCCGGAGGGCCUGAUCCCUUCGGAGCCGUAGCUAAUGUGUUAAGUGCUCCGCCUGGGGAGUAUGGUCGCAAGGCUAAAACUCAAAGGAAUUGACGGGGGCUCAC
rnacentral:rRNA from 1 species